ACCUACAGCUAGACCAGACUGAUUGCACCUGAUCCUGUCCAAUCUUGGAAGCUAAGCAGUCCUGAGUCUGGCUAGUACUUGGAUGGGAGGCUGCCUAGGAAUCCUGUAUGCUGCCAGCU
rnacentral:rRNA from 1 species